UACGGAGGAUGCGAGCGUUAUCCGGAUUUAUUGGGUUUAAAGGGUGCGCAGGCGGAUUUUUAAGUCAGCGGUCAAAUCGUGGGGCUCAACCCCAUCCAGCCGUUGAAACUGGGGAUCUAGAGUGUACGAGAGGUAUGCGGAAUGCGUGGUGUAGCGGUGAAAUGCAUAGAUAUCACGCAGAACCCCGAUUGCGAAGGCAGCAUACCGGUGCACAACUGACGCUCAGGCACGAAAGCGUGGGUAUCGAACAGG
rnacentral:rRNA from 1 species